GUAGGUGGCAAGCGUUGUCCGGAAUUAUUGGGCGUAAAGCGCGCGCAGGCGGUUCUUUAAGUCUGAUGUGAAAGCCCACGGCUCAACCGUGGAGGGUCAUUGGAAACUGGAGAACUUGAGUACAGAAGAGGAAAGCGGAAUUCCACGUGUAGCGGUGAAAUGCGUAGGGAUGUGGAGGAACACCAGUGGCGAAGGCGGCUUUCUGGUCUGUAACUGACGCUGAGGCGCGAAAGCGUGGGGAGCAAACAGGGAUUAGAUACCCUGGUAGUCCACGCCGUAAACGAUGAGUGCUAAGUGUUAGGGGGGUUUCCGCCCCCUUAGUGCUGCAGCUAACGCAUUAAGCACUCCGCCUGGGGAUACGGCCGCAAGGCUG
rnacentral:rRNA from 1 species